CUAGGAGAGAAUUUCCAGUGUUGUCUUUUUGUGUGCUGUAAUGGCAGCAUCAUCUUUGUUAAUAAUUUGCCUCAGGUUCCCAGUGGAAAAUACUGAGAUGUCAGAGUGAACCCCUUGGCCCUGAGCUAUACAUUUUAUCAGGUAUCCCUUGGUGAGUUCUAACAAAGCAUCUAGCUUUUUCCUCUACUCUGAUGCUGUGUGACAAAACCUAACCACAGGAUAGAUGACCAAAUGUAUCUUUUAAUUUGCCUGGAAGUUCUGAAGGGAAUGGAGGACCAACGCAGUGAAACAAUGGAAUUAGAGGUUGGACUCUCCUUAGUUACAACCUUACAAAUAAGUGAAUAGAAG
rnacentral:lncRNA from 1 species